GUGGGGAAUAUUGGACAAUGGGCGCAAGCCUGAUCCAGCCAUGCCGCGUGAGUGAUGAAGGCCUUAGGGUUGUAAAGCUCUUUCAGUGGGGACGAUAAUGACGGUACCCACAGAAGAAGCCCCGGCUAACUUCGUGCCAGCAGCCGCGGUAAUACGAAGGGGGCUAGCGUUGUUCGGAUUUACUGGGCGUAAAGCGCACGUAGGCGGAUCGUUAAGGCGGGGGUGAAAUCCUGGAGGUCAACUCCAGAACUGCCUUCGAUACUGGCGAUCUUGAGUCCGGAAGAGGUGAGUGGAACUCCUAGUGUAGAGGUGGAAUUCGUAGAUAUUAGGAAGAACACCAGUGGCGAAGGCGGCUCACUGGUCCGGUACUGACGCUGAGGUGCGAAAGCGUGGGGAGCAAACAGGAUUAGAAACCCCAGUAGUCC
rnacentral:rRNA from 1 species